rnacentral:rRNA from 1 species
GACAGGGGGUGCAAACGUUGUUCGGAAUUACUGGGCGUAAAGCGCGUGUAGGCGGCCCUGCAAGUCGGAUGUGAAAUCCCACGGCUCAACCGUGGAAGUGCAUUCGAAACUGCAGGGCUAGAAUCCUGGAGAGGAAGGUGGAAUGCUUGGUGUAGAGGUGAAAUUCGUAGAUAUCAAGCGGAACACCGGUGGCGAAGGCGGCCUUCUGGACAGUGACUGACGCUGAGACGCGAAAGCGUGGGGAGCAAACAGG